rnacentral:rRNA from 1 species
ACUCCUACGGGAGGCAGCAGUGGGGAAUAUUGCACAAUGGGCGCAAGCCUGAUGCAGCCAUGCCGCGUGUAUGAAGAAGGCCUUCGGGUUGUAAAGUACUUUCAGCAGUGAGGAAGGUGGAUAUGUUAAUAGCAUAUUCAUUUGACGUUAGCUGCAGAAGAAGCACCGGCUAACUCCGUGCCAGCAGCCGCGGUAAUACGGAGGGUGCGAGCGUUAAUCGGAAUUACUGGGCGUAAAGCGCAUGCAGGUGGUUUGUUAAGUCAGAUGUGAAAGCCCGGGGCUCAACCUCGGAAUUGCAUUUGAAACUGGCAAACUAGAGUACUGUAGAGGGGGGUAGAAUUUCAGGUGUAGCGGUGAAAUGCGUAGAGAUCUGAAGGAAUACCGGUGGCGAAGGCGGCCCCCUGGACAGAUACUGACACUCAGAUGCGAAAGCGUGGGGAGCAAACAGGAUUAGAUACCCUGAUAGGCUCUGC